CCUACGGGAGGCAGCAGUGGGGAAUAUUGGACAAUGGGGGGAACCCUGAUCCAGCCAUGCCGCGUGUGUGAAGAAGGCCCUCGGGUUGGAAAGCACUUUCAGUGAGGAAGAACGCCUGGUGGUUAAUACCCAUCAGGAAAGACAUCACUCACAGAAGAAGCACCGGCUAACUCCGUGCCAGCAGCCGCGGUAAUACGGAGGGUGCGAGCGUUAAUCGGAAUUACUGGGCGUAAAGCGCGCGUAGGUGGCUUGAUAAGCCGGUUGUGAAAGCCCCGGGCUCAACCUGGGAACGGCAUCCGGAACUGUCAAGCUAGAGUGCAGGAGAGGAAGGUAGAAUUCCCGGUGUAGCGGUGAAAUGCGUAGAGAUCGGGAGGAAUACCAGUGGCGAAGGCGGCAUUCUGGACUGACACUGACACUGAGGUGCGAAAGCGUGGGUAGCAAACAGGAUUAGAUACCCCAGUAGUC
rnacentral:rRNA from 1 species